rnacentral:rRNA from 1 species
AGCGAACGCUGGCGGCAGGCCUAACACAUGCAAGUCGAACGAACCUUUCGGGGUUAGUGGCGGACGGGUGAGUAACACGUGGGAACGUGCCUUUAGGUUCGGAAUAACUCAGGGAAACUUGUGCUAAUACCGAAUGUGCCCUUCGGGGGAAAGAUUUAUCGCCUUUAGAGCGGCCCGCGUCUGAUUAGCUAGUUGGUUGAGGUAAUGGCUCACCAAGGCGACGAUCAGUAGCUGGUCUGAGAGUAUGAUCAGCCACAUUGGGACUGAGACACGGCCCAAACUCCUACGGGAGGCAGCAGUGGGGAAUCUUGCGCAAUGGGCGAAAGCCUGACGCAGCCAUGCCGCGUGAAUGAUGAAGGUCUUAGGAUUGUAAAAUUCUUUCACCGGGGACGAUAAUGACGGUACCCGGAGAAGAAGCCCCGGCUAACUUCGUG